CCUACGGGAGGCAGCAGUGGGGAAUAUUGCACAAUGGGGGGAACCCUGAUGCAGCGACGCCGCGUGAGUGAAGAAGUAUUUCGGUAUGUAAAGCUCUAUCAGCAGGGAAGAAAAUGACGGUACCUGACUAAGAAGCCCCGGCUAACUACGUGCCAGCAGCCGCGGUAAUACGUAGGGGGCAAGCGUUAUCCGGAUUUACUGCGUGUAAAGGGAGCGCAGACGGCUGUGCAAGUCUGGAGUGAAAGGCGGGGGCCCAACCCCCGGACUGCUCUGGAAACUGUAAAGCUGGAGUGCAGGAGAGGUAAGCGGAAUUCCUAGUGUAGCGGUGAAAUGCGUAGAUAUUGGGAGGAACACCAGUGGCGAAGGCGGCCUGCUGGACAUUAACUGACGCUGAGGCGCGAAAGCGUGGGGAGCAAACAGGAUUAGAUACCCCAGUAGUC
rnacentral:rRNA from 1 species